rnacentral:rRNA from 1 species
AGUGAACGCUGGCGGUAGACCUAACACAUGCAAGUCGAACGGCAGCACAGUAAGAGCUUGCUCUUACGGGUGGCGAGUGGCGGACGGGUGAGGAAUACAUCGGAAUCUACUUUUUCGUGGGGGAUAACGUAGGGAAACUUACGCUAAUACCGCAUACGACCUACGGGUGAAAGCAGGGGAUCUUCGGACCUUGCGCGAUUGAAUGAGCCGAUGGCGGAUUAGCUAGUUGGCGGGGUAAAGGCCCACCAAGGCGACGAUCCGUAGCUGGUCUGAGAGGAUGAUCAGCCACACUGGAACUGAGACACGGUCCAGACUCCUACGGGAGGCAGCAGUGGGGAAUAUUGGACAAUGGGCGCAAGCCUGAUCCAGCCAUACCGCGUGGGUGAAGAAGGCCUUCGGGUUGUAAAGCCCUUUUGUUGGGAAAGAAAAGCAGCAGGUUAAUACCCCGCUGUUCUGACGGUACCCAAAGAAUAAGCACCGGCUAACUUCGUG